GGGAUAUAUGGGACCACGAAGCGUGCACCGGACCACGCUUGAUAUUUGGGGAAAUCGACGGCGCAUUUGGAGUAUGCAUUUGAAGCAUACUUCGAAUUGGGACAGCCGUCGUCGCGUGGCGGUGACGUAACCGCACUUGAAAUGCGUACUUCAAGCGUGCAGACCCUGAAUUGGAACACAGCUACUGUCUUUAAGUUCAGUCUGUGUUAUGUUUCCUGUUUUACUUUGGAGGUGCAUGUCUUAUGUUAAUGUAUCUGGUUUUGCUUCCCGUGUUUUGUUAGGCCUGAUUUGCCCCAGCUGUGUUUCCCUCCUGUUGCCCAUUCCCUGAUUCCUCCCUCUGUGUAUUUAAGCCCUGUGUUUCAGUUUGUCAGUGUUGUGAUUUACACUUAUCUAGCUGUGUGUUCUGUCUGCGUAUUUUGGUUUCCUAGUUUUGUUACCCUUUUGAGUUCAGCAUUAAAGUUGUGUUUUGAGUUACUUUCUGUCUCCGGAGUCUUCACUUUGGGUCCUUCUCCUGCCUGCACACAGCCGUCACAUAACAACUACUGCUAUUACCACGACUACUAAUGAUAAUAUCUGGCAGAUGUCUCUCUUUGUAUUGAAAAAUAGCAGAUAUUUCAGGUCAGACGUUACCCAAGGCAUAUAGAUAUUUUUCAGAUGUCAAUGAAAGUUUUUUUUUAUUUUUUUUUAUGGAUUGGUCAGAAAUCGUUUAACACCCACAGGUGGCUAUGUUAUUUUUUUUUCACUGACUUCAAUAAAUAUUUAAGUAGAACUUGAACAGUAACAUGUUGAUAGGCCUGAUUCUGAAAGUCGAUGAUGUUUUGUGUCCUUUUACCUACUUCACAGGUGGUUUAUAGAUUUAUAAACAGCACAGUACUUCAUUUAAGAUUUGUCAAGAGAACAGCUGCACCUACCUCCAAGACCCCAAGUCAUCUCCAUUAAUUUCAAGGAGUUCACACUCAGAGCAUAUCAAUUCUUCUUCAGCUGCCACUUCUUGAUCUUAGUUGCCAAGUGUGAAGUCUGCACUUAUACUGUGUUAUUUCUGUUACUCAUACUCUGUUUUGGACCUGACUUGACUUAUUUGAGCUGCUGUUGGUAGAUAGCAUUAGUCAUUGCUAAUGGAAUGAAGCUGCA
ensembl:lncRNA